UCAGGAUGAACGCUGGCGGCGUGCCUAAUACAUGCAAGUCGAACGAAUCUCUUUUAGAGAUGAGUGGCGAACGGGUGAGUAAUACAUAGGUAACCUGCCCCUGUGCGGGGGAUAACAGGAGGAAACUCCUGCUAAUACCGCAUAGCCAUGAGCACCGCAUGGAGCUCAUGCCAAAUAUCCUUUCGGGGAUAGCGCAGGGAUGGACCUAUGGCGCAUUAGCUGGUUGGCGGGGCAACGGCCCACCAAGGCAACGAUGCGUAGCCGGCCUGAGAGGGCGGACGGCCACAUUGGGACUGAGACACGGCCCAGACUCCUACGGGAGGCAGCAGUAGGGAAUUUUCGGCAAUGGGGGAAACCCUGACCGAGCAACGCCGCGUGAGCGAAGAAGGCCUUCGGGUCGUAAAGCUCUGUUGUAAAGGAAGAACGGCGCAUACAGGAAAUGGUAUGCGAGUGACGGUACUUUACCAGAAAGCCACGGCUAACUACGUGCCAGCAGCCGCGGUAAUACGUAGGUGGCGAGCGUUAUCCGGAAUCAUUGGGCGUAAAGAGGGAGCAGGCGGCCGCAAGGGUCUGUGGUGAAAGACCGAAGCUAAACUUCGGUAAGCCAUGGAAACCGGGCGGCUAGAGUGCGGAAGAGGAUCGUGGAAUUCCAUGUGUAGCGGUGAAAUGCGUAGAUAUAUGGAGGAACACCAGUGGCGAAGGCGACGGUCUGGGCCGCAACUGACGCUCAUUCCCGAAAGCGUGGGGAGCAAAUAGGAUUAGAUACCCUAGUAGUCCACGCCGUAAACGAUGGUCACUAAGUGUCGGGGGUCAAACCCCGGUGCUGCAGUCAACGCAAUAAGUGACCCGCCUGAGUAGUACGUUCGCAAGAAUGAAACUCAAAGGAAUUGACGGA
rnacentral:rRNA from 1 species